UAGUAAGAUGGUGGCACACCGGCUCGGGCUUCUCUUUGCGCCUUCCCCCGCGGCCUGCAGUGGGGCGAGCAUCAAGGUUCCGCCCCGACUGUCAGGCGCGGGGCAGCCCAGGUCCUGCCUUCCAGAGAUAAUUCAAAAAGAAGGUCCCUGCCCUCUGGGGUGUGCAGAAGAUGUGGCAAAGACUGAUGUUGGACUAAUGAAUGCAGAUGAACAAGGAAAUGAAAAGCUAUGAAUUCCUUCAAAUUUAAUAAAUAUUGGAUUUAACUGGGAGAGCCCUCCUGAAAAUCUUGGCUUCAGACAUGAAGGAAGAAACCAAGAAAAACUACAAGAUAGCUGAUCCCUCUACAUGGGAAGAGCUCUGAGAGUGGAUGAGACAGGAUAAAUCUUGUUGGCUACAGAGUUCUCAUGAAUUAUUAUUAGAUGCCAUCCUUUCACAUGGCAUGGAUAGAUUACAUCACAGUUUGAUUAUGCAGUUCAAACGGACUUAGGGAGUUGACAGAUGCCUUUUACCUGCUCAAAGAUAAAGCAGAGAAUCAUAUUUAGCUAAUUUAUGUAUACCACAUAGUCCAUACUUGUGUUAAUGCAGAUAUGUAUGUUACCUUUAAAAGUUUGUAUGUUUUUAGAACAAAUGAACCAGAUACCAAUGAAGACAAGUAGCCCAGGUGAUCCAGCCUCUCAGAGUGCUUCCAUUGUUGUUUCCUUAAAAAUCUGCAUCCAGGAUAACUUCAAAGCUGCUAGAUGAGAUGGGCCAGCCUCACAGAUGGCUCCAGCCAGGGCUUCAGUUAAGCUUUACACCUUCCCAUCACACAGAGACUGGACAAUAAAUAAUACAGCUACCUCUCCCAGGACUUGAACAUUACCUCAGUUUUCUCAAGGACCCCUACGAUGCUGUCACCUCCAGAUAGCAGGAAGCAAUUUUAAGAACACAAAGACCACAUUCCUAAGAAAUGGGGUGGGAUUUCUCUGUGUUGCUUUGGAGCCAGUCCUGGAACUAGCUCUUGCAGACCAGGCAAGAGAUCCGCCUGCCUCUGCCUCCUGAGUGCUGCGAUUAAAGGCUUGCGCCACCACCGCCCAGCUGCUAAACUACUUUUAACAGUAUUGUGUGUGUGUGUAUGCUCGUGUGCACACUGGUGUGAGCGUAACUUGGAAUUUGUUCUCCUAUUGUGGGCUGUGGGGAUCUGACUCAGAUCAUCGUACUUCACAGCAAGCACCUUGCCCCCGAGUCAUCUUGCUGGCCUGAAAACACCUAUUUCUUAGUGUUGAUUCUCAACCUAUGGGUGGCAACCCCAUCGUGGUUUGUUGAACAGCUCUUUCAGAGGGUCACCAUUGGAAAACACAGAUAUUUACAUUGUAAUUUCGUAACAGUAGCGAAAUUAGUUAAAAAGUAGCAACAAAACUAAUUUUAUGGUCCCCACAGGGUCACCACAACAUGAAGAACUGGAUUAAAGGUGGCAGCAUUAGGGAGGUUGGUUUGCAUUAGGGAGGUUGAAACCACUGGCUAUAGUAUAAAGAUACCCACCUCAUUUCAGCAAGUCAACCUUUAGCCUAAUUUAUAUCCCAAGGACCCUCCAUGGAAAGCUUGCAGCUUCAAACUUUAAAUCCUUCCCUUUAGUUUCACUCUUCAGAAAGUGCCCACAUAGCACUUUCUCUUCUUCACACCAAGCUCCUCUUUUGCUGAUGGCAUCA